CCUUCGAUAGCUCAGUUGGUAGAGCGGUGGACUGUAGAAAGUUUAAGGAGUUUGGUCAACUUAGAAAUGCAUGUUUACAGUGCUUCUGAGGAUCAUGUGCAUCCAAUAGAAAUCCAUAGGUCACUGGUUCAAAUCCGGUUCGAAGGA
rnacentral:tRNA from 1 species